AUUGAACGCUGGCGGCAUGCCUUACACAUGCAAGUCGAACGGCAGCACGGGAGCAAUCCUGGUGGCGAGUGGCGAACGGGUGAGUAAUAUAUCGGAACGUGCCCAGUCGUGGGGAUAACGUAGCGAAAGCUACGCUAAUACCGCAUACGAUCUAUGGAUGAAAGCGGGGGAUCGCAAGACCUCGCGCGAUUGGAGCGGCCGAUAUCAGAUUAGGUAGUUGGUGAGGUAAAGGCUCACCAAGCCGACGAUCUGUAGCUGGUCUGAGAGGACGACCAGCCACACUGGGACUCGAGACACGGCCCAGACUCCUACGGAGGCAGCAGUGGGGAAUUUU
rnacentral:rRNA from 1 species